UAACAGAUAGGCAAUGGAAAUUCCACCU
rnacentral:piRNA from 1 species